UACAAGCAGUGGGAGCACCUUCGGGUGUGACUGCGUACCUUUUGUUUAAUGGGUCAGCGACUUAUAUUCUGUAGCAAGGUUAACCGUAUAGGGGAGCCGCAGGGAAACCGAGUCUUAACUGGGCGUUAAGUUGCAGGGUAUAGACCCGAAACCCGGUGAUCUAGCCAUGGGCAGGUUGAAGGUUGGGUAACACAAACUGGAGGACCGAACCGACUAAUGUUGAAAAAUUAGCGGAUGACUUGUGGCUGGGGGUGAAAGGCCAAUCAAACCGGGAGAUAGCUGGUUCUCCCCGAAAGCUAUUUAGGUAGCGC
rnacentral:rRNA from 1 species